AGUGAGCCAGGAUAACAGCACUACACUCCAGCCUGGGUGACAGAGCAAAACUUUAUCUCAAAAAAAAAAAAAAAGAAAAAAAGAAUUGACAUACAAAGUCUAAAAUUUACACAUAAAAUGAGUCCUUUUCAAACAUAAAGAUCUCCUUCCAGACAAGCUUUAGUUAUGAAUUCUAUAUCCAAUGACUUCUCUCUUCAUUUUCAGAACUUCUUGCUGCUCCUAGUAGCCCCGAGGACCCAGUGAACAAAGCCAGUGAAUAAUUCCAUGAAGGGGCCCAUGACAUCAGUCAUUCUCUCCCAGCUCAGAUGCCAAAGCGAAUGGUUGGCAGAACCACGUGUGGCCACAGAGUCAUGAGGAAGGGCACCUCUACCCAGAAGUCAUAGGCAGCCCAGGAAAUGAGAGACUUGACGCAGUUCUCACACCCUCUUCUCUUGCCACAUUGAAAACUAAAACAUUGCAUAAACGAGCUUUAAAAAUAAAAUACAUAGGUCAUCUUUGGCACUAACUUUAAAACAAUCUGUAUUUUUAGUUAACUCGCCAAAGGCUGCAUCUUAGAAAACUAGAAUGAGAAGAAGAAAAGGGGGAAAGAAGAUAGUAUCUGCUGCAUAUAACCAUAGACCCUCAUGACUGUGAGCAAUGGAAUAGACAACCCCCUCAACUAUAAGAAAUAUCUUUGUUGGGUGUCCAGAGUGUUCAUUCCUCCAGCAAGUGUUGGUUAUCAGAUGACGUGUGAGAUGAUACUGAGGAAUCAGCAGGGAACAAGUAAACAAACAAAUAAACCCUGAACACAGAGAGAUACAGAGAGAAUCAAAAGGAACCAUUUUCUACAAUUCCAUCACUUUACAGGUCAUGAUACCUCAAGAUCAGCUGAAUUGGAGCACAGCUGGAUGGAGGCCUCAGGUUAAUUAACUUCCUUUGAGAGCAUCCAGCAAAUUAGCAAAGACAUGACAAACGAUUCACCCUAGUAUUGCAUACCAAUCAGCCAGGACACUCUGAAACCUAUUAAAUCAGAUUUUUAAUCUUCUAAGCACUGUAGACACCUGUGUGACAUCAGCCACACCCUCAAAUCUUAAAGGAAACAUGAAUACAAGAACAUAUGUGUACAAGAAAUCAUGCAUAAAAGGAUUGUGCCUUCAAAUCAAGUCAACUGUUUUUAUUUGUCAUCAAAUGUGAAUGGAGAUAUGGAAUGCCAUAAACCAGCAGUGAAUCACUUCUUGAAUAAGUCACCUCAUUCUUCUAGACUUUGAUCUGAUAAAGGGAAGGAUUGGACCAGAGAAUCUUUAAGGUCUCUUCCUACUAGUAUGUUUCUACCUUUUGGAUGAUGACUAUGAUGAGCAGAGUCAUAUGUCCCCAAGGAGCUGGCUGGUGCCACUGCUCUAGCCCUGUGUUCUAGAAGUGGAUAGAGGAUUUGCCUAGGGAGAUUUAGGCAUAAGGAUGCUCAUCACUGAGUUGUGUAACUGCAAAACUGGAAGCAACCUACACUUGCAGAACAGAGGAAUGGUGAAGAAGCCAUGGCAUGUUGAAAUGAUGAAAUAUUGUGUUAACAAAUGGUGUUCAACAGUUUGAAACAGAGACUUGAAGACCGCUUAUUUCGAAAAAUGAUAAGUCAAGAAUAUGAGAUACAAAAUUAGGCCGGGCGCAGUGGCUCACGCCUGUAAUCCCAGCACUUUGGGAGGCCGAGACCGGCAGAUCACCUGAGGUCAAGAGUUCAAGACCAGCCUGGCCAACAUGGUGA